rnacentral:tRNA from 4 species
UGGGGUGUCGCCAAGUGGUAAGGCAGCGGGUUUUGAUCCCGUCAUUCGCAGGUUCGAAUCCUGCCACCCCAGCCA